UCAGCAGGAGAAGGAGGGCGCCCGCCCCGCGGGGCUGAGGGGCCGCCGCGGCUUUGUCCGCCGCCGCCCGCGCUGAGGGGAGCGCUUGGAAGGCGUGAGGUGGAUGGGGAGUGCGGGUGGGAGCGUGAUGUGCCCGGCGGCCUCCCGCCGGCAGGGAGAGGCCGGAGGGAGCGAGAUCCUCAGCCAAAAGAUGUUAUCAGAAGGAAAUGGGAGGUAUGAAAAGUGGCAGCAAUGCACAGAGGGGGGACUUUGCCCUGCUUCACGGGACCUUCAGACAACAUGCAGAUCAGGAGCUGUGAGCAGAUGAUCUCACAAGAUCCCUUUUAGCCUACCUUUCCAGGAAAACAGAAGCUGAUUCAAAAUUAUAAGUUUUUUAGAAAUAAGUGGACAUAAAAAAAAAAAUUUCAUCACCUGCUGCCUACUGAAGAGCACCAUUAUCAAGUGGCUACCUAGCUCACAGAAAGAAUGUGUGGUAACCACAUGAUCCACAGAAGACAAAAGUCAGGCAAAACAUCUGCAAGAUGUUGCCUGUUUCCAGCCUAAGUACUUUUCAGGACAGGAUUAACAUAUAUCCAAAACCACUAUCCAAAGCAAAGUGACAAUGGUGGCCUUUUCAUGAAGGAUAUUAGAAAGCAUUCAGUUUCAAAAAGAUAUUAGUAACUGAUUGCUUGCAAUUCCAAAUAAAUGUUGAAGAGAACCAGAAAGGUAUUGUCACUGAUGGAUUGCGUUUCAUCUUUUUGUAAUCAUUGAUAUUAAAUGAAACAGAUCUUUUGCAUUUUGUGGACAGUGCAAUUUAUGCCAUGGGGAAAGUGAUGGCAAAUAUUAGCAAAAGUAAGAUUUUUAGAGCCUGCUUCCCUUGCAAUAGAUUAAGAGGUUACCCUAACUUUCCAUGGGACUAGUGUCAGGCAAGAGUGCCGGAAGAUAAAUAGAGCUCAUAAAGCAAGGAAGAUUAAAUAAUGUAAAAUCUAUUAUUGAGGGAAUUCCAAAUACGGAAAAAGGAAUUAUUAAUUUUCCUGACCACUGGAAAGAAUAUAAACAAGCUCAAAUUGUAACCGCGUUUCCUUUGAGAACAUUAUGGAGCAUGGCAGACAUUGCACAAGGGUAUUAUUCAGGCUUACUGUAUCACUAUGCAGUAUGAUCUGACUGAUGACUGCACACAUGGAUCAGCUGAGUCUGUAACACUGCUGAGCAAGACAGAUGGGAAAAUGACAUUGAGAAGGCAACACUCAUGCUGCAUAACAAAUCCAAACUUCUCCUUCCAAAACAUGCUGAACUCUCCUAGGAGUAAAACAAAACAAAAAAGCAGAGACCUGAAGCCAGUUUCAUGUGUGUCAUCCCACAGCCAUGUGCACAUGGGCAUGAAGAGGAGAUCCUUUGGUAAGAAAAGGGAUGAAAUAGAAGAUGGACAUCUCUAAUUGACCAUCUAAGACUAAAAGCUUAAAAUUUGAAAUCCAACUAUUGAAUUUUCUCAAGUUUCCUCACUGACCAUGCACUUUCCUCCUGCUCCUUUCCCCAGAAUUAGAGACCUCACUUUUCUCUUCUCGGUCAAAGCUUUUUUCCCAGCUUCAAGCCCACCAUCCUGUGUAAUAGCUCCUGGAUGGCAUUACCCUCUUCCAGGACCUCUGGCAGCUGUCAUGACUAUAUUUGCCUUUUUGCAACUGCAUACCACACCCAGGGCAAGGAGAAUGUCACAUAUUCCCAGUAAUCUUCAUUAUGACCUGUUUUCUAGAGAAACUAAACAUCACUGAAUUCAAUAUCUAGGCUCCUCCUGAAGUUUGUUCCUCAUCUGCACUGUAAGACUCAAGACACCUCCCUGGAGUCCCCUCAAUAACAAAGCCCACACAAAUCUCCAGACAAAAUUCAUUUUUAGCGUCUUCUGCCCAGUCUUUCCAGAAAUGUUAUUUUCUCAGCAGGCUCAUAACUCACCAAGGUCUCAGCCCUCUUUCUAAAUGAGUUUUGCCUGGCAGAGCAAUCUCUUCUCACAGAGGUCUCCCAGUUCCUUUUUCAAAGACUUCUUUGCAGGAGAAUCUAAAUUUUGGCUACCUGCUUGUCUCCAGGAGCAGGAGAUAAUGCAGGGCUAACCAAGCUCUUUGAUUUUUCUCACACUGUAAAUACUUCAUCACAGGUUUCCCAAUACCCUACUUUUCUGUUUCUUCCAUCUUUCUGUUACAAGCCUAGCAGCCAUGACAUUUUGCCAAUCCUCUGCACCCAUUUUUUUUCCCUUCCUAUGUUGGACUCUGGUCCUUCCAUGGUUUUCCAGUCUCCUGCUACACAGCUGUAUCCCUUUCACCCCAGGCUUUGAUGGUUUGGAACAGCAAUCAGUCAGUUUCUAAAGGCAAUGUGAUAAAGCAUCUCUAUGUGAGCAUGACAGAGCUAGUAGCUAUAGUAACAGAAAAGCAUACUUUAAAAAAAAUGAAACAAAAAUAAAAUCCAAGAGAGGUCUCCCAUCUUCCCUCUACCCCCAAAUAUUGCAGGGUUCCCUAAAUAUACUCCUAUGUAUCUUUACUUAACUGUAUCUCCUCCGUAGCCCAAAACAGGGUGAGACAGAAAUAAAACUUUUUUCCCCCCUAGUUUAAGGGCAAUGGCCUCACCAGGGAGUCCCAGGAGGAGGCUGGGAGGUUAGCCAGGGUUUGGGAGAGGACGUUUUCCACAGCACAGUGGUGCUGCGCUGCCUGAAGACAUCUGUUUGCGUCCCAAAGCAGGAAGGCUGCCUGCCGAUGCUGGUGACACAGCUCGCUGUUGCGCAAACCUGGACUGCAGUUUCUGAGAAUUCAAAAUUUUAAAAUAGAAAUCGUUUAAAACAGUAACUUUUAAACCAGAAGAGCUUUCUGUGAGUUUUUGAGAAGAGCUCCUGAACCUCACUGCACCGAUAAAGGUAUUAAAGAAAAGGUGCUUUUUUCAGCACUCAUAUAUUCUUCACUCCUCUAGAACCUGUGUAGGUGGCCUUCCGCAGAAAGGACCAAAAUAGACCUGGUGCCUCAGAUUACUUUACAGGUCAGCAGGCUGCAAAACGCUGUUCAGUAAUUUAGUGCAUUUAUACAUGUCACACCUUUCCAUUCUCUCUUUUUAAAAUAUGAGCGUGGAAAGAGAUAAGCAAUGCAGGCUCAAUUUGCACAAAAAAGAUGUUUAGUGAACUCCAUAUUUUACACAAAUUACAAGAAAUGAAUUUUUUUUUAUUUACUGCAGUAUCACCUUUCAACAAAUUAUUCUUUUUUAUUUGAUAUUCCCUUUCUGAGGGACUAAGACUGUUCCAUAUAUCUAUUAAAUACACGUGUUCAUAUUUUCAAUAAAACCCAUCCGAAAUAGAUUUCCUUUUAAUCAUUGAAGUAAGUUACCAUGCAAUUAAGGAGAAAGAAUUAUAUAUUUCAGCAAGUUACAUCCUAACAACUGGAAUAUUGUUAUACCUGAAUCAGUUUUAUACUUUGACGUCUUUCCAUUGUUAUCGUAUAAUAGUUAAAAAUCUCUAUGGUUGUUAUAAGACGUUGUUAUAAAUAACCUCUAUUAUUUAGAUAUCUGACAGAUGUAAUCUCUACAAAUGAUGAAUUAUAUCCCACUUCUUAAUUACACAGUCCUCUGAAAUCUAAUUUAAAUAGUAGCUAAGCAGAAUAAAUACAAAAAAAAAAAAAAAAGCAGUUCGCAAAAUGAUAAAUUCAGGUUUUUGGCUCAGCACUGUAAUUUUUCCACAGAUGAUUUUGCAAAGUAUCAUCUUUCGCAGUAUCUUCUAAGGUCAGCGUAAUCUGGAUUUACAUAUUGAUUCAUUCAGUUUCUAUGUCAAUCAUAACGCAAAAAAAUUAAUAAAAAGAACAACUCUUAAGUGUUCUUUAGAGACUUAGCAAUAAUUACUCCCCUGUCAUCUCAGUCAAGCAGGUGUCUUUCACAUGUUCUGUUUUUCAGGCAU